CUUUCCCUUCUGGUUUCCUCAGUGUGUAUGCCCAACAGUGGGAUUGCUGGAUCAUAAGGCAGUUCUAUUUCCAGUUUUUUAAGGAAUCUCCACACUGUUCUCCAUAGUGGCUGUACUAGUUUGUAUUCCCACCAACAGUGUAAGAGGGUUCCCUUUUCUCCACACCCUCUCCAGCAUUUAUUGCUUGUAGACUUUUGGAUUGCAGCCAUUCUGACUGGCGUGAAAUGGUACCUCAUAGUGGUUUUGAUUUGCAUUUCUCUAAUAAUGAGUGAUGUUGAGCAUUUUUUCAUGUGUUUGUUAGCCAUCUGUAUGUCUUCUUUGGAGAAAUGUCUAUUUUGUUCUUUGGCCCAUUUUUUGAUUGUGUCAUUUAUUUUUCUGGAGUUGAGCUGUAGGAGUUGCUUGUAUAUUUUUGAGAUUAGUUGUUUGUCAGUUGCUUCAUUUGCUAUUAUUUUCUCCCAUUCUGAAGGCUGCCUUUUCACCUUGCUAAUAGUUUCCUUUGAUGUGCAGAAGCUUUUAAGUUUAAUUAGGUUCCCUUAAACUUGGGUAUGAUGUCCCAUCUGUAGGGGCAACAAUGCAAGCCUCCUCCCCAUGGCCCUGCAACCUGUCCUUCUCCUGGGCAACAGAAGUGCUCUCUGCUCAGUGCCACCCAUGCCAGCAAGAAUACCUGGAAAAGCAGAAGUCACAUCUGAAACAGGCUUCUUUUCCCAACUGGAACAAGAAUUGUCUCCCAACCACCCCACAGACACUGCCACCAUGCACACCAUCUCCUCUUCUUCACCGCUUCUACAGACUUCUCCCUCCAAAGGCUGGGAGUCACCAAGGCUUGAAGACAAAAGUUUUACUACCCCUUAUUUUGCAGAAGCUCCAGUUCUUAAGGAACAAACUAAGGAUGGUUGACAAAGGUUCUUUUCAAAUGACUUAGAACUACCUAGACUCUACAGAUACCUCUUCUUCUAACAUAUAUGUCCUUGGUGAAACCAUUGAAGUUGGACCUGACACAUCGGUCCUUCUCCUACCCUUCUCCUCAACCCUUCUCCCUUAUCAAUGUGAAGAAGAGCUGACCCCUCCCUCUGAACUUUUCCUCUCUAUUCCUUUGAUGAAAACAUGUAUUGCUGAGAGACCCUAGACAGUCCUCACUUGCUAGAGGUGCGGGAUGCUAUGUCCAGAAGGAGUAAGGUGGUACCCAGUAUGGGGAAUGGAUAAAUCCUUGGAGGGGUAACUCUAAGGGCAGAACAGGAGCCACAAGGAGUAGGAGUGUGUUUGAGGAUGAGAGACUGAGUGGUGUUGAAUUCCUGUCCAAGAGCAUCUGUCCCGACUGCCUGCUUUCCAUACCCCACCCAGUCCAUCAUUGUCACGCUUGCCAUUCGAGGGGUACACUGCAGAUGAAAGAAGUGAGUGUCACCAGGAAAGCAGUAGCACCAGGGCUGCAAAGAGGGCUAACAGGGAGGGACUUGUGCUUUCCUUCUGGGGCCACUUAGGCCAUAGCAGACAUUAGAGAGAGGCUUGUGCUGUGCUGUGUGUUGUGUGAAGUUGCUUCAGUCAUGUCUGACUCUGCGACCCUAUGGACUGUGGCCCGCCAGGCUCCUCUGUCCAUGGGAUUCUCCAGGCAAGAAUACUGGAAUGGGUUGCCAUGACUUCCUCCAGGGGAUUUUCCCUACCCAGGGAUCAAACCCACAUCUCUCACACCUCCUGCAUUGCCAGGCAGGUUCUUUAUCACUACCAGUACCUGAAAGACCCCCAGAGAGAGGCUCACUGAUAGCUUUUUAGUCACUUAUGUGAGCAGUCCUUCUGAGCAUCAGUUUAGUUUGAUACUUACUAAGUUCUUAUUAUAUGCCAGAUUCAGUGUUCCCUUCUGAAACGUCAAAGUAUUUCUGCAUAAUUCUAACAAUAGCAGGGAUAGCCUUGGCACUAGAAGAGCCGUUCAUUUAUUGCACUGUCACGUGUUAGGCUUUUGAGAAGCAGACGUUGUAAUGGAAUUUGGUGUGCACGAUAUUGAUUGGAGAUCAGGGCCUGUGAAGGCAGGAAGAGAAACCAGGACUGGGCAGAGGGAGAAGUCAAACUGCCAUAGAAGCCUGAUAAAGAUUCAGCUAAAUGCAAAGGAAACCUGAGAGCCUAUACAGCUUAAUCAUUGUCCUGGCCUAGAUGGCCAGGCUGCUAUAUCUACAUCCUGAGCAGUCACUGGGUGUGGCCCAGCCUGGACUGGAAUGUUCUUGAAAGAGGCAGCUCUCUGAAGCUGAAGCCAACCCUGAAGAAGCUGAUGGCUCCCAGUAGUUGGAACAACAAAUCAUUUCUUUAAGGGAAAUCUGGAUAGUACAUUUUUGUUUUACCACAUUCAUCUCUCCUAGUAAAGAUUUUUGUGAUUAAAUUGUGAUAAAGAUUUCACAAUUUUAUGAGACAGAUAAUCACGUAAUGGUUGAUCAAGUAAUCCUCAUGCUUCAUAUGGUAUGAACUGGAACUCCUUGGUGGUAUUCACCUGUUAGCUGAUCAGCUCUGCAAGGUUCAAGAUAGAUUCAUCCACAUUCACCCUGCCUGAUGCCUUGAUACAAGAAAGGCUAGACUCACCUAGCCUCCUCUUUUUCCCUAGGUAAUUUCAAGGUCUCUCCAGGAGAGUGGUCAGAUCCUUGCACUUUGACUCAAGACAUCAAAAGAAAGAAAAUGGAAAUUGGCCUAGUGUCAUUUCCGUCAAAGCAAUCAUAAAACUGCCCAUAUUCAAGAAUUGGAAACAUAGACUUCCUCCCUUAAUACACACACAUAUCUAAAUAGAGAAAUAUUUAAUAAACUGUGUCCAUCUUUAAUGUCAAAGAUUUUCACCCUACAACUCCAAAUCGUGCUAUCUUUGUCCCCAGUAUGCUGAGCCCUCUCCCCCAUAACCUGAUUUUUGGCUUCCAC
ensembl:lncRNA